UACGUAGGUGGCAAGCGUUGUCCGGAAUUAUUGGGCGUAAAGCGCGCGCAGGCGGUCCUUUAAGUCUGAUGUGAAAGCCCACGGCUCAACCGUGGAAGGUCAUUGGAAACUGGAGGACUUGAGUACAGAAGAGGAAAGCGGAAUUCCACGUGUAGCGGUGAAAUGCGUAGAGAUGUGGAGGAACACCAGUGGCGAAGGCGGCUUUCUGGUCUGUAACUGACGCUGAGGCGCGAAAGCGUGGGGAGCAAACGGG
rnacentral:rRNA from 1 species